AGCAUGCAUGCUAUCACAUGGAGAUAGACUGCACACUUCCUCCUGUGGUCCAAUGUUGGUGGCAGUAUGCAGAUAAUAGUUUGGAGAUUUAAUCAAAAAUUUUUGAAUUU